GGCCUUGACAUACUAAGGACUUUCCAGAGAUGGAUUGGUGCCUUCGGGAACUUAGAUACAGGUGCUGCAUGGCUGUCGUCAGCUCGUGUCGUGAGAUGUUGGGUUAAGUCCGCAACGAGCGCAACCCUUUUCCUUAUUUGCCAGCGGGUAAUGCCGGGAACUUUAAGGAUACUGCCAGUGACAAACUGGAGGAAGGCGGGGACGACGUCAAGUCAUCAUGGCCCUUACGGCCAGGGCUACACACGUGCUACAAUGGUCGGUACAAAGGGUUGCUACCUCGCGAGAGGAUGCUAAUCUCAAAAAGCCGAUCGUAGUCCGGAUCGCAGUCUGCAACUCGACUGCGUGAAGUCGGAAUCGCUAGUAAUCGCGGAUCAGAAUGCCGCGGUGAAUACGUUCCCGGGCCUUGUACACACCGCCCGUCACACCAUGGGAGUUUGUUGCACCAGAAGUAGGUAGUCUAACCGCAAGGAGGACGCUUACCACGGUGUGGCCGAUGACUGGGGUGAAGUCGUAACAAGGUAGGCGUAGAUGA
rnacentral:rRNA from 1 species